rnacentral:ncRNA from 2 species
AACGAACUUCGGGGCAGGGUGAAAUUCCCGACCGGCGGUUAAAGUCCGCGAGCCUAACGGCUGAUCCGGUGUAAUUCCGGUACCGACAGUACAGUCUGGAUGAGAGAAGAUAAAA